UUUAGAACUGUCAGCUCUAUUUCUCUCUUCUCCCAAUUUGUAGAGUGAGCGAGUUCAUCAAAUUUUCAAUCUUCUUCCAGAAAAUUAGGUGGGAAAA